CUCCAGGCCUGGCCUCUCCUCCAAGGUCUCACUCCAUGCUGUUCACUAGGGGAGCUGCUCGUUCCAGGUGGCUGAGAAACAUAAUUAAAAUUAAAUAAAAUUUGAACUUCCUCAGUCCCGCUAGCCGCAUUUCAAUACUCAACCACAUAUGUCUAGCGUAACCACCUCGGGUGGUUCAGACAAAGCUCAUACCCAUCCUGACGGAGAGCUCUACAGGGCAGUGACCUCUAGAUGACAACAGCUAGUAACACACGUGCCAGGUCUUCCACAGACAAGCAGCUCAUGUUUGGUGUCCGUGUUGGUCUCCUGCCUACACUCUGCAGUCUCUCCAUGGGGCAGCCAGAGCCACCCAACCUGGGGGCCUGUGAGGACACAUGUAUCCCACACUGCACAGCAUGAUCCAUGGGGGACAAAUGAAACAGUAAGUGUCCAAUUUGCACUUGUCUUAUAUUAAGAAAUAAGAAAGAAUUUAGACUUCUAAUAUUUACUUGGAAGAACAGUCGUUUAUGUGUGAGAUGUGCAGUAUGUCAUGCUUCAAGAGUGGACGUUCACUGCGAUGUUCAAAUUUCUUGAAGUGAUCAAGAGAACAUCAAGACUCAGAUGUCUUUCACUCCACUUAAAUUAGCUCCAUUAUGACAUAAAACAGGGAUCCAAUCAGACCUGAUUUAUAAUCUGCAAAAAAUUCAAAAUUGUCAAAGGCAAAAUAAUGGCAUAUGUUAUUACCACAAGCUUCAUAGUCUUGUGCAUAUUUUGUGAACUACAUAAUACAUCUGCAUAGUGCUACAUAUGUAUAACUUAUAUAUAUGUAUAAAUAUAUUGGAUGUUUACUAAAACAUUUCUUUUUUUGUUUUUUCACCUGUAUUUUUUAAUUUAAAUUCAAUUCAUUAACAUAUAACGUAUUAUUGGUUUCAGAGGUAGAGGUCAGUGAUUCAUCACUCUUAUGUAAUACCCAGUGCUCAUUAUGUCACGUGCCCUCCUUCAUGUCCAUCACCCAGUUACCCCAUCCCACCACCCCCCUACACUCCGGAGAACCUCAGUUUGUUUCCUAUGAUUAAGAGUCUGUUAUGGGGCGCCUGGGUGGCACAGCGGUUAAGCGUCUGCCUUCGGCUCAGGGCGUGAUCCCGGCGUUAUGGGAUCGAGCCCCACGUCAGGCUCCUCUGCUGUGAGCCUGCUUCUUCCUCUCCCACUCCCCAUGCUUGUGUUCCCUCUCUCGCUGGCUGUCUCUAUCUCUGUCAAAUAAAUAAAUAAAAUCUUAAAAAAAAAAAAAGAGUCUGUUAUGGUUUGUCUCCCUCUCUGAUUUUGUCUUCUUUUAUUUUUUCCUCUCUUCCCCUAUGAUCCUCUGUUUUGUUUCUUAAAUUCCACAUAUGAAUGAGAUCAUAUGAUAAUUGUCUUUCCCUGAUGGACUUAUUUCGCUUAGCAUAAUACCCUCUAGUUCCAUCCACGUCAUUGCAAAUGACAAGAUUUUAUUUUUUCAUGGCUGAAUAGUAUUCCAUUGUAUAUAUGCACCACAUCUUCUUUAUCC
rnacentral:lncRNA from 1 species